CUGGUGCUAAAUUUUCUCGACCAUCAAACAUUCAGCUUCCCUCAGUUGAUUCACUCUGAUUUUGAGAAGUAAUUUCUGCUUUUGAAUUUAUUCUCCUCUCUUGUUUUUCAUUUCCCAAAUAGAUUUAGUUGAAACAUAACGAGUCAAGAUGACCAACUACGAUCAAGUAAUUAAAGACUAUUGGACCAAUGGUUAUGCAGUUAUUCCCAACUAUUUAACUUCUGAUGAGGUUGACAACAUAAUGAAGGAAACCAACCGAAUCAUUGAUGAUUUCGAUCUUUCUGGACCCAAAAAUAUGUACCGAGCUGGUAAACAAGAAGAUCCUGAUGACUAUUUCCUUCGUUCUGGACAAAAUAUACACCACUUUUUUGAAGAGACAGCCUUUAAGGAUGACAAACUGGUUGUACCCAAAAGUCAAUGUUUACACAAGAUUGGUUUUUACCUUCAUGCUCUUAACCCUGUUUUCAAAGCUGUAACCUUUGAUGAUCGUAUCAAGACCUUGGUUAAGAAAGUCGGCUUCGUCGAUCCAUAUGUUGUUCAAAGUAUCGUUAACUUUAAGCAUCCUCGUAUUGGUACCACCAUACCUGCCCAUCAAGAUGCUACCUUCUUGUACACUGAGCCACAGAUUAAACUUAUGGGCUUCUGGAUUCCUCUUGAAGAUGCAACACUUGAAAAUGGUUGUCUUUGGUUUAUCCCUGGAUCACACAAUGAGCCUGUUAGACGUCGAUGGAUCCGAAACAAAGAAGGUCAAGAACCUAGAAUUGUAUUCACUUGUCCCGAGAUAAAGUACGAUGAUUCCAAGUUUGUGCCCGUUCCAGUUCCUAAAGGAUCACUUGUACUUAUCCAUGGACAAGUUGUUCAUAAAAGUGAAGCCAAUACUUCAAGUAAACCUCGACCAGCUUACACUUUCCAUGCAGUCGAUUUACAUGACACAAAAUGGUCACCUGACAACUGGAAUCAACCUACUAAAGAAGCUCCUUUCAUUAAAGUCUAUUAAUCAUGCAAAAUUAGGAAAAAUUACAGAUGACAAGUUCUGGCCUUAUUGAAUUUUCUAAAAGUAUAAACAUAUUCCUGCUCCUUUUUAAACCCGCUGUACAUUCCCGCUAUUAAACCCGUUCGCCACUAUUAACCAGCCUUUUCCUCAAUGUAACUAUUUUCCCUACAGUUAGUCUAUUAAACAUCUUAUUAUUAUGA